CGCGUAGGCGGUCUUGUCGGUCAGAUGUGAAAGCCCGGGGCUCAACCCUGGAAGUGCAUUUGAAACAGCAAGACUUGAGUACGGGAGAGGAGAGCGGAAUUCCUGGUGUAGAGGUGAAAUUCGUAGAUAUCAGGAGGAACACCGAUGGCGAAGGCAGCUCUCUGGACCGAUACUGACGCUGAGGCGCGAAGGUGUGGGUAGCGAACAGGAUUAGAUACCCUGGUAGUCC
rnacentral:rRNA from 1 species